rnacentral:lncRNA from 1 species
GACCUUAAACCGCAAAUUGCAGUAGUGUCUCCCAGCCCAGACCGGUUUUAGUUGUAAUAUGUGGCCGCACGUGCGACGGGUAACACACGCUGUUUGUGAAGUCGCGUUGCAUUGUGACGGCCGAAAGCGCACAUAGAGCUGUUGUCCCGAACCGCUCUCAUCCUUAAUGUCUAAACAGUGCGCGACCACAGAGCAGUCGCCUCCCAUUUGGGGGCGACUCCAACCCGUCGCGUCCCCUCAAGGCCUUACUCUCUCCAGUCCAUAGCCCUCUCCUCCCAUCCUCCCCGUUACUCAGGACGCCCAUCAGCUGACGCUGGCUUUGGAUGCCUUAUGGCCCGAUGUGCCCACCGCCCUGGAGCGAUACCAGCAGGCACGCAUCUACAGGCACGUGCUCUAAUAGCUGCGGAAUAAAGGGUCAUUGGGCAUCCACCUCAGAAAUAAUGGGGGACAAGGGGGCAAAGGGACCCAGCGGAUGCCAAAUGCAGCGGCAAAAACCGUGAUGCCAUCGUAACACCCUCAUUCUUCCUGACCACAAAGCCUGCAUUCUUUUUCUCCUCACAUUCUUGCUUCCCUUCCAUGUCUCUUGUCCUCCUCACUGGAGCCCCGCUCAUGCAUCUACAUACAGGGCCAACCGGGUUCAAAAGUUCUCCGCCGAGUCAGCUGGACUGGCCACCAUCCGUGAGGCGUCGCGACCCGCGGGUUUGUCAGGCAAGGAGGCGUUGGAGCGCUUUAGCGAGUUGCGCGCUUGGCUAGACCAGUACCCCGAGAACAUUACCGGCGACCCCAACUCCAAAUGGUGGAAGCCACCAACAGCUGCGGAUACGAGUGUCGUGGAUGCGGUGGAUGUGGCCACAGCGACGGCGCACCUGGAUGGCCUUCCCAAGUGUGUGGCGGCAGCAGGGGUCGCUGCUGGACGUGAUGCUUGCGAUCGCGCCCACGGUGCUUAGACACAGGCGCUUCGUGAUGGCGGGCGCAAUGACUCGCAACCGUUUGUGGCUGACGGGGAUAUUUCCAGGGUCCCCGUGUGAAAAAGGGAAUCACUUGAGAUGGAGGGAUAUGAGGCACCCGCGUGGCCCAACUUGAACCAGCAGCAGAGGCAUGAGGGGCAUGGCACGUAUUAACAAGCACACUAAUAUUGAUGUGGUUUGCAAGGUAGAUUCAUACUUUCGUAAUUUACUUAUCGUGAGCAUCGAGAUCGUUGAGGUCGAAUUUACGAAGCAAGAUCGUCGUAUUGGCAAUUUGCAGCAGACUUCGUGAAUAGCAUUGCAGACUUCUGGGCAAGACUAAGCUCCCGCUAGAGAAGAGCCCUCACCACCAUACCUACGAUUGUGGUUAAAGCUGAGGCACUUGUACGACUGACCCAGAAGGCCAAACUGGGUUUGUCCUAAAGAUACAUCUCGCGAGUACUUGUCGUAUACUUGGCACCGGAUGGCACCAGAUGCCACCGGACAGUGUUUAUUGGCAUAUAUGUGGCCACAUAUGCUGUCAUGUAUCACGUAUCACUGUCCAUGGAAGGUGCUUACAGUGGGAAGCCCGGCGAUGUAUGGAAUAAUCAGCUGGGAGCAGCUGUUCCGAAGGGCAGUCCUGGGCUGGAGCCUUGAAGAAAAGCAGGGACGGUGUGUAUAGUACAGACCUGGAAACUAUGCUAAGGGCACUGUUAAGGCGGAACGUGCACUCCAGGUUUACAAGUCACCUGCGUACAACUUAACUUAUCAUGUGGCAGAUUGCCUACCCAUUAGGACGCAGCGAAAAGACCGCAGGGCAAGCGAAAAGUCCGCUAGACGGACCGUCCCACCAAAGGCCACU